rnacentral:lncRNA from 1 species
GCAAUAUAAUGAAAGCAACUCUAUUUGAUUUGUGAGUCUCCAAAGUCAAAGUUCAUGUGGCAAGCGCCUCUAUGUGCAUUGAAACGGGGGAAUCAGCAAAUCACUUGGGAUCAUAAAAUAUAACAGACUAAAAGCAUAAAAACAAUAAAUAAAUAAAUAUAAGCACUAGCAUUUAAUGGCAGAUAUAUUAAAAAAAAAAUGCAUAAAAAUGCAUAAAAAGCAGAGCAAAAGGCCAUUAUAAAAAGAAAGAAAGAAAUUUCAGCUUUGAGACAGCACUGGGUGGAAACGACAUGAACUGCAGUAACAUUUUUGACCCCCACACCAGGAAUUUAUAUAAUUCCUAAACUGGUCAAAAGAAGUCAUGAGUCUAGCCUCAUUAGGAAGUGAGUUCCAUACUUGUGCUGCCUCAAAUCUAAAGGAUCUUUUACCAUAACUGGAGGUUCUAGGUCUAGGUACCUCAGCAGUGUUUACAUACCUG